CACACCUACACGGGCCCCGAUGGAGCCUACAGCCUCCGAGGUACACACACACACCUACACAGGGCCCCGAUGGAGCCUACAGCCUCCGAGGUACACACACACACCUACACAGGGCCCCGAUGGAGCCUACAGCCUCCGAGGUACACACACACACCUACACAGGGCCCCGAUGGAGCCUACAGCCUCCGAGGUACACACACACACCUACACAGGGCCCCGAUGGAGCCUACAGCCUCCGAGGUACACACACACACCUACACAGGGCCCCGAUGGAGCCUACAGCCUCCGAGGUACACACACACACCUACACAGGGCCCCGAUGGAGCCUACAGCCUCCGAGGUACACACACACACCUACACAGGGCCCCGAUGGAGCCUACAGCCUCCGAGGUACACACACACACCUACACAGGGCCCCGAUGGAGCCUACAGCCUCCGAGGUACACACACACACCUACACAGGGCCCCGAUGGAGCCUACAGCCUCCGAGGUACACACACACACCUACACAGGGCCCCGAUGGAGCCUACAGCCUCCGAGGUACACACACACACCUACACAGGGCCCCGAUGGAGCCUACAGCCUCCGAGGUACACACACACACCUACACAGGGCCCCGAUGGAGCCUACAGCCUCCGAGGUACACACACACACCUACACAGGGCCCCGAUGGAGCCUACAGCCUCCGAGGUACACACACACACCUACACAGGGCCCCGAUGGAGCCUACAGCCUCCGAGGUACACACACACACCUACACAGGGCCCCGAUGGAGCCUACAGCCUCCGAGGUACACACACACACCUACACAGGGCCCCGAUGGAGCCUACAGCCUCCGAGGUACACACACACACCUACACAGGGCCCCGAUGGAGCCUACAGCCUCCGAGGUACACACACACACCUACACAGGGCCCCGAUGGAGCCUACAGCCUCCGAGGUACACACACACACCUACACAGGGCCCCGAUGGAGCCUACAGCCUCCGAGGUACACACACACACCUACACAGGGCCCCGAUGGAGCCUACAGCCUCCGAGGUACACACACACACCUACACAGGGCCCCGAUGGAGCCUACAGCCUCCGAGGUACACACACACACCUACACAGGGCCCCGAUGGAGCCUACAGCCUCCGAGGUACACACACACACCUACACAGGGCCCCGAUGGAGCCUACAGCCUCCGAGGUACACACACACACCUACACAGGGCCCCGAUGGAGCCUACAGCCUCCGAGGUACACACACACACCUACACAGGGCCCCGAUGGAGCCUACAGCCUCCGAGGUACACACACACACCUACACAGGGCCCCGAUGGAGCCUACAGCCUCCGAGGUACACACACACACCUACACAGGGCCCCGAUGGAGCCUACAGCCUCCGAGGUACACACACACACCUACACAGGGCCCCGAUGGAGCCUACAGCCUCCGAGGUACACACACACACCUACACAGGGCCCCGAUGGAGCCUACAGCCUCCGAGGUACACACACACACCUACACAGGGCCCCGAUGGAGCCUACAGCCUCCGAGGUACACACACACCUACACAGGGCCCCGACGGAGCCUACAGCCUCCGAGAUUCACAGGGGAAGUUCUGGUGCGUGGGAGAGGAGUCCGCAGUGGUGUGCAGCGGGGACACGCCCACCUACUUCCUGUUUGAGCUGUGUGACUACAACAAGAUGGCGGUGCGGGCGCCGGGGGGGCGGUACCUUAAAGGGGACCACGCCGGGGUUCUGAAGGCCAACGCUGAGGGGGUGGACAACGCCACACUCUGGCAGUACUGACCACCCUAUAAAGUUGACAUACAUCAUUCUGGGUGACAUCAAUUACCCCACCGUAGAAAUCCUUUAAAUAAGUAGACUCCGUCUGUUAUGACUUUAUAUGGGCAUAUAGAAUGUAUAGAAUAAAAAGGAACGUUUCAGACCUUCCUGAGUCUGAGGGUGGUUUAAACCUUCCUGAGUCUGAGGGUGGGUUUAACCUUCCUGAGUCUGAGGGUGGUUUAACCUUCCUGAGUCUGAGGGUGGUUUUAACCUUCCUGAGUCUGAGGGUGGUUUUAACCUUCCUGAGUCUGAGGGUGGUUUUAACCUUCCUGAGUCUGGGGUGGUUUUAACCUUCCUGAGUCUGAGGGUGGUUUUACCCUUCCUGAGUCUGAGGGUGGUUUUACCCUUCCUGAGUGUGAGGGUGGUUUUACCCUUCCUGAGUCUGAGGGUGGGUUUUAACCUUCCUGAGUCUGAGGGUGGGUUUUAACCUUCCUGAGUCUGAGGGUGGUUUUAACCUUCCUGAGUCUGAGGGUGGUUUUUAACCUUCCUGAGUCUGAGGGUGGUUUUACCCUUCCUGAGUCUGAGGGUGGUUUUAACCUUCCUGAGUCUGAGGGUGGUUUUUAACCUUCCUGAAUCUGAGGGUGGUUUUUAACCUUCCUGAAUCUGAGGGUGGUUUUUAACCUCCCUGAGUCUGGGGGUGGUUUUAACCUUCCAGACUUGGACUUGUAUCAACUCACCACCCAGGGCUUUUACUUGUGACAUGUAGUUAAAUGCACUAAAGAGGAACAAUGGCUCCAUAAUGAAGACGCACAUCUCUAGAGUCUUUUAACGUGUCUGUUUUCAGAGGAUAAAGAUACGAACAUUAACGACGUCAUAGUUUUAGAACACUAUAACAAUAUGGAAGAAAAUGAAACGGAAUCUUCAAAAGAACCAAAUAUCCGUAGAAACAGAAACCCUAUGGAACAAUCCUUGGAUAGCUUUUCACAAUUCACGGAUACGUUGGUCCACAUGGAAAACUAAAGGCGUUUUCAUGAAACAAUUUUUGAAAAAGCAAUUACAAUUUAAACAUGCAACUUUAAAAAAAAAGUUUAUUUCAUCAAAUGUCGAUUUUUUAAAAUAUUUUGGACAUCAGAGAGAAUCUUAUUUGAGUCAGAAAACGAUGUUCAUAUGAUAUGGAAGAUGUACACUACCGGUCAAAAGUUUGGACACAUCUUCUCAUUCAAGGGUUUGUCUUUAUUUUUACUAUUUUCUACAUUGUAGAAUAAUAGUGGAGAAUAGUGAAAUAACACAUAUGGAAUCAUGUAGUAACCAAAAAAGUGGUAAACAGAUCAAAACAAAUAUUUUAUAUUUGAGAUUCUUCAAAGUAGCCUGUAGAAAAUAGUAAAAAUAAAGAAAAACCCUUGAAUGAGUAGGUGUUGUAAAACCUCUGACCGGUAAAACCUCUGACCGGUAAAACCUCUGACCGGUAAAACCUCUGACCGGUAGUGUACUAAACCUUGCAGAGAGCCAAUACAUUCUAUACAUUAGUUUAUACUGGAUUAAGUUCACAUUUUCUUCAACUGUAAUUGUGUUAUGUUACAACUUUCCUUCCAUCUUGUGUCAACAUCAGUUCUUUUUUAAGUCUUGGUUCCAAUAGUUUAUAUAUUUCUUCUACAGCACAACGGCAGAGUCAUGUCUUAAGUGUAAAACUAACAAUGACUCAAUAAUCCAUGCAUUCUGGGAAAGUUAUGACGUCAUAAAGUUAUGGGCGGAGUUAGAACGUUGGCUGUCAGAAGUAUUACAAUGUAAACUUCCUUUUAAUCCGUCUGUCUGUAUAUUUCAAGAGAUGACAUAUGAGAGGGUGUAAUGAGAGACCCAAUUAGGGGGGGGACCCAUACUUUUCUCGUCAAUGAUUUAGAAAAAAAACGUUGACUUAAAAAAAACUGGAAAUCAAAUGAUUCUCCAUCAUUACAACAGUGGAUGAAUCCAAAUGUUUAUUUAAAUAUGGAAAACGUGUGGGCUACGGAGAAACAUUCAACAGUGGAUGAAUCCAAAUGUUUAUUUAAAUAUGGAAAACGUGUUACGGAGAAACAUUCAACAGUGUAAUUUGAGGCCAUAUUUCAUAGAGUUCUACAAGCACCGGAAUGUUCCAGGGAAGGAAGGAUGGGGGGGAGGGGAGGGGGGAGACAUAUGUGAUGUGUAUAGUAGCAGUGGGAACAUGUGGGUCUGAGCAGGUGUGAUGUCAUUGGUGUUCAUGGUCUUUGUUUACACAUGUUGUUUUUGUAAAAUUAUAUUUCAAAAUGAAAAGACUCACACUUUACAGUUAUACACUUUACAGUUAUAGACUUCACAGUUAACACUCACACUUUACAGUUAUACACUUUACAGUUAACACUCACACUUUACAGUUAACACUCACACUUUACAGUUAUACACUUUACAGUUAACACUCACACUUUACAGUUAGCACUCACACUUUACAGUUAUACACUUUACAGUUAUACACUUUACAGUUAACACUCACACUUUACAGUUAACACUCACACUUUACAGUUAUACACUUUACAGUUAUACACUUUACAGUUAUACACUUUACAGUUAUAGACUUCACACUUUACAGUUAUACACUUUACAGUUAACACUCACACUUUACAGUUAACACUCACACUUUACAGUUAUACACUUUACAGUUAACACUCACACUACAGUUAACACUCACACAUUACAGUUAUACACUUUACAGUUAUACACUUUACAGUUAUACACUUUACAGUUAACACUCACACUUUACAGUUAACACUCACACUCACACUUUACAGUUAUACAGUUUACAGUUAACACUCACACUUUACAGUUAACACUCACACUUUACAGUUAUACAGUUUACAGUUAACACUCACACUUUACAGUUAACACUCACACUUUACAGUUAUACAGUUUACAGUUAUACCCUUUACAGUGAACACUCACACUUUACAGUUAACACUCACACUUUACAGUAACACACUUUACAGUUAUACCCUUUACAGUUAACACUCAAACUUUACAGUUAUACACUCACACUUUAGUUAUACACUUUACAGUUAUACCCUUUACAGUUAUACACUCACACUUUACAGUAAUACACUUUACAGUUAACACUCAAACUUUACAGUUAUACACUCACACUUUAGUUAUACACUUUACAGUUAUACCCUUUACAGUUAACACUCACACUUUACAGUUAUACACUCACACUUUACAGUAAUACACUUUACAGUUAUACACUUUACAGUUAACACUCAAACUUUACAGUUAUACACUCACACUUUAGUUAUACACUUUACAGUAAUACACUUUACAGUUAUACACUUUACAGUUAACACUCAAACUUUACAGUUAUACACUCACACUUUACAGUUAUACACUUUACAGUUAUACACUCACACUUUAGUUAUACACUUUACAGUUAUACACUUUACAGUUAACACUCACACUUUACAGUUAACACUCAUAGUUAACACUCAAACAUCAAAACAUCAAUAUACACACAUAGUGCCAAAUGUUAUCUAAAUGUGUGGCUCUGUAUACGCUCAGAGCCACAUGUUAUCUAAAUGUAUGGCUCUGUUGUAUCAAGGGCACUGUAGUUUCCUAAUGUCCCUGGGCCUAUACGGCUGUAUAUGGGGCUAAAUAUAGGGGCUGUAUGUGGCUAAAACUGGAAACCCCUAACUGGAAAUGAUCACAUCUGGAAUGCUAUAGGUUUACUCUCUGCCUUAAAUGAACGUUUCUCAUCUGUCUGAACUCUUAAACAUCUCAGAGACAGAACGUUUCUCAUCUGUCUACAAACUCUUAAAACUGGCUAGAACCAUAGUUUAGAACUGUUUAGAACUGGCUAGAACUAUAGUUUAGAACGGGUUAGAACUGGCUAGAACUACGGAAACAUAUUUGAGAACUGGUUAGAACUGGCUAGAACCAUAGUUUAGAACUGGUUAGAACUGGCUAGAACCAUGGAACCAGAGUUUAGAACUGGUUAGAACUGGCUAGAACCAUGGAACCAGAGUUUAGAACUGGUUAGAACUGGCUAGAACCAUGGAACCAGAGUUUAGAACUGGCUAGAACCAUGGAACCAUGCCUGUCUGUCUGGUCUGGAUUCUAACACGCUACAGGGACCUCAAUGUACCCUGACUAGAACACACAGCUAUGAUGCAACACAGAGGUUGAUACUAAUAAGGAUUCUAGAGAAAACGUGAUGAUCUGAACCGUGUGUGUGUCUGUGAUGUAAUACACGUCUUCGUGAUGACGAAGAGCACAACUCUUUGUAUUGAUGAAACACUCGCCUGUCUGAACCUCUGACUAGUCUAAUAUCGUGGCGCUGCUAUUGGCCCGUGAGCACAAAGGGGGGGAAAUCCGAUUGGUUGUGGCGGUGCCUUGCUUGGUUUACUAUGUAACUCUGUUUCUUGGCAAAUUUAAUGAAACCUGUUUGUUUUUUUAUUUUUCAUAAUGUGGCAUAUUUGUAUUUCAAACUUAAAGCCCAAUAAAACUUCACAGUGUAAAAA